GGCAGCGUGGCCGAGUGGUUAAGGCGUUGGAUUUAGGCUCCAAUUUCGUAAGAUUCAUGGGUUCGAAUCCCAUCGCUGUCA